CACGAUUUGUUGCUCUAUAUAUACUCUCUCCAGUAAUAUAUAAGCUUUAACUGCAGAUUUGAACAGUUUAUACAACUGUAAAAUAUUUUGGACACACUCAAGAAUGAUGCAGUUUAUGUUUGCGGCUUUGGUC